rnacentral:rRNA from 1 species
UGAAACAUUGCUCCUGAAAUCUUCGCGCGCGAGGGGUGAGUAAUGCCUAGGAAUCUGCCUGGUAUGGGGGACAACAUUUCGAAAGGAACGCUAAUACCACAUACGUCCUACGGUUUUCUCUGGGGGAUCUUCUGACCUCACGCUUUCCCAUUAGCCUAAGUCGGAUUACCCAGUUGGUGAGGUAAAGGCUCACCUGGCGACCAUCCGUAAGUGGUCUGACAGGAUGAUCAUUCACACUGGAACUGACACACUGUCCAGACUCCUACGGGAGGCCUCAGUGGGGAAUAUUGGACAAUGGGCCAAACCCUGAUCCAGCCAUGCCGCGUGUGUGACGACGGUCUUCUGAUUGUAGUUCACUUUUCGUUGGGAUGAAGGGCAGUAAAAUAAUACCUUGCUGUUUUGACGUUUCCAACAUAAUAAUCACCGGCUAAAUUCCUGCCAACAUCCGCGGUAAUACCAACGGUGCAAGCGUUAAGCGGAAUUACUGGGCGUAAAGUGCGCGUAGGUGGUUCCUUAAGUUGGAUGUUAAAGCUCCGGUCUCAACCUGCGAACUGCAUCCGAAAAUGGCUAGCUAAAUUAUGGCAUAGGGUGUUGAAAAUACCAGUGUAGCGCUGAAAUGCGUAGAGAUAUGAGCGAACACCUGUGGCGAAACCGACGUCCUGGGCUACUAUUGACGCUGUGGUGUGACGCAUGGGCAGCAAACCGGAUAAAUACCCUGGUAGACAACCCCGUAUACGAUGUCGACUACCCGGUGGGAUCCUUGUGAUCGUGUGGCGCACCUUAAGGCUUUACUCAACCGCCUGGCGCUACCGCCGCGAGAUUAAACUCAAAUGAAUUGACUGCAGCCUCUCAGCGG